AUUCUCUUAAUGAUGUCUUUAAAUGUGCAAAAGUAAUAAUUUCACCAAUCAUGUUCUUUAAGGAUAAUGCUUUAUUUGUGUGAUGGUCAAGAAAUUUUACACUAUUCUAAGAAUAUGAAGAUAGCGGUCUGCGAAGCCUGAGUCCUGUCCUCUGCUCUCCUCCCCGGGCAGCAUGAGCUUCACCACUCGCUCCUCCUUUUCCACCAACUACCGGUCCGUGGGCUCCGUCCCGGUGCCCAGCUAUGGCACCCGGCCAGUCAGCAGCGCGGCCAGCGUCUAUGCAGGCGCCGGGGGCUCUGGUUCCCGCGUCUCCGUGACGCGCUCCACCAGCGUCCGGAGCGGCAUGGGGGUCGGGGGGCCUGACCGCGGGGAUGGCCAGGGGUCUGGCAGGAAUGGGAGGCAUCCAGAACGAGAAGGAGACCAUGCAAAUCCUGAACGACCGCCUGGCCUCCUACCUGGACAGAGUCAGGAGCCUGGAGACCGAGAACCGGAAGCUGGAGAUCAAAAUCCGGGAGCACCUGGAGAAGAAGGGACCCCAGGUCAGAGACUGGGGCCAUUACUUCAAGACCAUCGAGGACCUGAGGGCUCAGAUCUUCUCAAAUACUGUGGACAAUGCCCGCAUCGUUCUGCAGAUUGACAAUGCUCGUCUUGCUGCUGAUGACUUUAGAGUCAAGUAUGAGACAGAGCUGGCCAUGCGCCAGUCUGUGGAGAGCGACAUCCAUGGUCUCCACAAGGUCAUCGAUGACACCAAUGUCACUUGGCUGCAGCUGGAGACAGAGAUCAAGGCUCUCAAGGAGGAGCUGCUCUUCAUGAAGAAGAACCAUGAAGAGGAAGUAAAUGGCCUACAAGCCCAGAUUGCCAGCUCUGGAUUGACCGUGGUGGUAGAUACCCCCAAAUCUCAGGACCUUGCUAAGAUCAUGGCAGAAAUCCGGGCUCAGUAUGACGAGCUGGCUCGGAAGAACCGAGAGGAACUGGACAAGUACUGGACUCAGCUGAUUGAGGAGAGUACCACAAUAGUCACCACACAGUCCACUGAGGUUGAAACUGCUGGGAUGACACUCACAGAGCUAAGACUACAGUCCAGUCCUUGGAGAUUGACCUGGACUCCAUGAGAAAUACAAAGAUCAGCUUGGAGAACAGCCUGAGGGAGGUGGAGGCCCGCUAUGCCCUGCAGAUGGAGCAGCUCAACGGGAUUCUGCUGCACCUGGAGUCAGAGCCGGCACAGACCCGGGCAGAAGGACAGCGCCAGGCCCAGGAGUACGAGGCUCUGUUGAACAUCAAGGUCAAGCUGGAGGCUGAGAUCGCCACCUACCGUCGCCUGCUGGAAGAUGGGGAGGACUUCAGUCUCGGUGAUGCCUUGAACAGCAGCAACUCCGUGCAAACCAUCCAAAAGACGACCACCCGCCGGAUAGUGGAUGGCAAAGUGGUGUCUGAGACCAACGACACCAAAGUUCUGAGACAUUAGGCCAGCAGAAGCAGGGGAUCCUUGGGGGAGCAGGAGGCCAAUAAAAAGUUCAGAGGUCAAAAAAAAAAAA